UAAAACAAUGCCCUUUGCGGCUCCUGUUGUGAAUCAUGAUAACUUCUCGAAUCGCAUGGCCUUGCGCCGGCGAUGGUACAAAUUUCUUCCCUAUCAACUUUCGAUGUUUGGGUAUUGGCCAAACAUGGUCGCAACGGGUAACGGAGGGUUAGGGCUCGACCCCGGAGAAGGAGCCUGAGAAACGGCUACUACAUCCAAGGAAGGCAGCAGGCGCGCAAAUUACCCAAUCCCGACUCGGGGAGGUAGUGACAAUAAAUACUGAUACGAGGCUCUUUUGGGCCUUGUAAUUGGAAUGAGUACAAUUUAAAUCUCUUAACGAGGAACAAUUGGAGGGCAAGUCUGGUGCCAGCAGCCGCGGUAAUUCCAGCUCCAAUAGCGUAUAUUAAAGUUGUUGUGGUUAAAAAGCUCGUAGUUGAACCUUGGGCCUGGCUGGCCGGUCCGCCUCACCGCGUGUACUGGUCCGGCCGGGCCUUUCCCUCUGUGGAACCUCAUGCCCUUCACUGGGUGUGANGGG
rnacentral:rRNA from 1 species